GGUUGGAUCAUUACAACGUAUCCACGUAUAAACCUUGUCGUUGAACCUGUUUUGUUGACUUUUUUUUUUUUCCAAUCUUCGGAAAGGAGAAAAAAGGCCAGCAUCUACCAUUUUUCAUAUUAACCACUUUGUAACCAAACUGAUUUUGUUUUUUACAAAACUUUCUUUCUCUUGCCUGUUGCGAACCGGGGAAACUCGGCGAGCCUGGCUUGAAAGGAAAUAAAACUAAAUAAGAAAUUAAAGCACAACUCUUAACAACGGAUAUCUAGGCUCUCGUAACGAUGAAGAACGCAGCGAAAUGCGAUACGUAAUGCGAAUUGCAGAAUUCAGUGAAUCAUCAAAUCUUUGAACGCAACUUGCGCUUCCGGGAAUGCCUGGGAGCAUGCCUCUCUGAGUAUCGUUUCACCACAACCUUGCCUGCGUGUGUAUUUCUUCGGAAGUGCGUGCGUAUGUGCAGAUAAUGGGCUGUUUCAGACGCCGACGCGUUUGAAUCGCCUGAAACGUAUACGCUACUUGUCCUCUUCCUCGUUUCUGGUGUUUUCGAACAACAGGACUUGGUUGAUGUUGAUAAUUGGCCUUUAUGGUCAUUCACUGUCACAUCGAUCAGGAGAGUUAGAGACAAAAGCUUAUUCAAGGAAAAAACAAAAAAAAAAAAAAGAACUUCGGUUAUUUUAUUUUUUUAAAACUUAAUCUUGAUCUCAGAUGAAGCAAGAGAACCCGCCGAAUUUAAGCAUAUUAUUAAGCGGAGGAAAAGAAACUAACAAGGAUUCCCCUAGUAACGGCGAGUGAAGCGGGAAGAGCUCAAAGUUAAAAUCGGGGUACCUAGCGGUGCUUCCGAAUUGUAAUCUCGAGACGUCUUAUCAGCAUCGACCCGGGUAUAAAUCUUUUGAAACAAGGUGUCAUAGAGGGUGAGAAUCCCGUCUUUGAUCCGGAGUUCGGUGCGUACGAGGGGCGCUCCAAGAGUCGAAUAGCUUGGGAAUGCUGUUCUAAAUGGGUGGUAAAUUUCAUCUAAAGCUAAAUAUCGACGAGAGACCGAUAGCGAACAAGUACCGUGAGGGAAAGAUGAAAAGAACUUUGAAAAGAGAGUUAAAAAGUACUUGAAAUUGUUAAGAAGGAAGCACUGGAAACCAGUACUGUCUUUGUAUAUGGGCACUACGUUCGUGAGAGGGCAAAUCGGUAUCUCAUCGAGCCGACCAAACUUCAGAGCGAGCGUAGUGUUCUCGUAUGGGGGCGAACUCAGGAUCGGGUCGUCUCGCAGAAGAAAACUAACGGAAGGUAGUCAGCCCGUAGUGAUAUUGGUUGAAACUUAUAGCCGUUGGUGAAGCUGUGGGGCGGCCUGAGGAACCAACGUAGUCCUUUCCGCAAGGCUGCUGGUGGGGUCUCCUUUCUGGCCGUGGCUUUGAAGAGCAAAGCUCUGUAGAGGUCACGGUUGGUUACUGGGGCUACACUAGACCAAGGACUCGGGAUCUUGAGUAAAUGGUUUUCAUUGACCCGUCUUGAAACACGGACCAAGGAGUCUAACAUAUAUGCGAGUAUUUGGGCCUGAAAACCCUGAUGCGCAAUGAAAGUGAAGGUAGACCUAGUCUACUGAGGUAGGAACCGCAAGGGGCACUAUCGACCGAUCGUUCAUUCAUGAAAGAUUUGAGUAAGAGCAUAUCUGUUGGGACCCGAAAGAUGGUGAACUAUGCCUGAUCAGGGUGAAGCCAGGGGAAACUCUGGUGGAGGCUCGUAGCGAUACUGACGUGCAAAUCGUUCGUCUGAAUUGGGUAUAGGGGCGAAAGACUAAUCGAACUAUCUAGUAGCUGGUUCCCGC
rnacentral:misc_RNA from 1 species